CCUACGGGCCGCACCAGUGGGGAAUAUUGCACAAUGGGCACAAGCCUGAUGCAGCCAUGCCGCGUGUAUGAAGAAGGCCUUCGGGUUGUAAAGUACUCUCAGCGGGGAGGAAGGUGUUGUGGCUAAUAACCGCAGCAAUUGACGUUACCCGCAGAAGAAGCACCGGCUAACUCCGUGCCAGCAGCCCCGGUAAUACGGAGGGUGCAAGCGUUAAUCGGAAUUAUUGGGCGUAAAGCGCACGCAGGUGGUCUGUCAAGUCGGAUGUGAAAUCCCCGGGCUCAACCUGGGAACUGCAUUCGAAACUGGCAGGCUAGAGUCUUGUAGAGGGGGGUAGAAUUCCAGGUGUAGCGGUGAAAUGCGUAGAGAUCUGGAGGAAUACCGGUGGCGAAGGCGGCCCCCUGGACAAAGACUGACGCUCAGGUGCGAAAGCGUGGGGAGCAAACAGGAUUAGAUACCCGUGUAGUC
rnacentral:rRNA from 1 species